UACGAAGGGGGCUAGCGUUGCUCGGAAUCACUGGGCGUAAAGCGCACGUAGGCGGCUUUCUAAGUCAGGGGUGAAAUCCUGGAGCUCAACUCCAGAACUGCCUUUGAUACUGGAGAGCUUGAGUCCGGAAGAGGUGAGUGGAACUCCGAGUGUAGAGGUGAAAUUCGUAGAUAUUCGGAAGAACACCAGUGGCGAAGGCGGCUCACUGGUCCGGUACUGACGCUGAGGUGCGAAAGCGUGGGGGGCAAACAGG
rnacentral:rRNA from 1 species